rnacentral:rRNA from 1 species
GAUGAACGCUGGCGGCGUGCCUAAUACAUGCAAGUCGAGCGAACGGACGAGAAGCUUUCUUCUCUGAUGUUAGCGGCGGACGGGUGAGUAACACGUGGAUAACCUACCUAUAAGACUGGGAUAACUUCGGGAAACCGGAGCUAAUACCGGAUAAUAUUUUGAACCGCAUGGUUCAAAAGUGAAAGACGGUCUUGCUGUCACUUAUAGAUGGAUCCGCGCUGCAUUAGCUAGUUGGUAAGGUAACGGCUUACCAAGGCAACGAUGCAUAGCCGACCUGAGAGGGUGAUCGGCCACACUGGAACUGAGACACGGUCCAGACUCCUACGGGAGGCAGCAGUAGGGAAUCUUCCGCAAUGGGCGAAAGCCUGACGGAGCAACGCCGCGUGAGUGAAGAAGGUCUUCGGAUCGUAAAACUCUGUUAUUAGGGAAGAACAUAUGUGUAAGUAACUGUGCACAUCUUGACGGUACCUAAUCAGAAAGCCACGGCUAACUACGUG